UGGGUUUUGGGGCUUCUUGUGGAGAACAGUCUGAUGUCUCCGAGCUUUCGUCUUCUGACACUACAGUUUCCCGGUAGAUCUGAAUAAUGUAAAAAAGUCAAUGUUGCCCAACAGCGAUGCGGCCCGUGGUGGGACUACGCAGGUGUUUGUUGGAGAGCGAGCGGUUAGUUAAAUGGAUGGUUUCUCUGUCCGCUGGUGUCAGACGAGUCUCCGUGUGAUGGAUGAGAUUCUUUCAGGCUGGAGUGGAUAUUUACACACACCAGGGGACUGAAGACAUGGAGUCAGGGAUCUGGCGCAUGGGUCAGCAAACACAUGCACACUUACUGUAGACGUGAGUCUCUCCAGAGCCUUCAUCUGGAGUAUCUCACUGCAGAUAUCACGCUUUCUGUCGGGGUCUUCCUCGGGUCUGCAAAAGAACGCACACACUUGAUAAAACACCUCUGAAGUGACAAUGCACGACUGUCUCAUGAGAGCUGACCUCUACGACAGUGAUGUUCUGUAAGACAAGAUAGCAGAUGUCAUGUUCAAAAUAGGCCCCGUCCCAAAUGGUGCACUUGAUGUGUGUCCCAGGUUUCAGAAGUGCCUUCGAUGCACAACUGUGGCAAGUAUGCACUGAUAUGGAUUCCUAAUGACAGGCUAAGCGGCAAACUGUGGACGUGGAGAAAGACGUCAAGGGAUUAAGGCACCAUUUAGGACAUGAAAGUACUACACUGAAAAAAAAUUUUACUCAGAAAUUGCUAGUAAAUUUCACAAUUAAUUACACUAUGGCAAUUAACAUAUUGAAAUAAAUAAGAAAAUUUAAAGUAGAAAGACUGUAAUAGUAUUUUCUCCAACAAUCUUUGUUUACAACUUUAAAAAUACCUAUGAAUACUGUAUAUUGUGCAAUAUAAACAAGCUUUCCAUGGUGAAUAUUAUACUGUGCAUGUAAAUUCAGAAAAAUGUGGUUGAUUUUGCUUUAUUUGCCACUUUGGAAAUGGAAGGUCAAGUCAAGAGCAAUGCAUUGUGGGAUGCAGCAACUCAUGCAGUGUGCUCUGGUUGCAUACUGCACUUUUUGGCAAAUGUUGUA